AGAGUUUGAUCCUGGCUCAGAGUGAACGCUAGCGGCGUGGUUAAGACAUGCAAGUCGAACGAUGAAGCCCAGCUUGCUGGGACGAUUAGUGGCAUACGGGUGCGUAACACGUGAGCAACCUGCCUUGAAGUGGGGGAUAGCCCGGGGAAACCCGGAUUAAUACCGCAUGUGGUCCUUUUCUCCCUGGAAAAGUGACUAAAGUUUGUAAUGACGCUUCAAGAGGGGCUCGCGGCCUAUCAGCUUGUUGGUGAGGUAACGGCUCACCAAGGCUAAGACGGGUAGCUGGUCUGAGAGGAUGAUCAGCCACACUGGAACUGAGAUACGGUCCAGACACCUACGGGUGGCAGCAGUUUCGAAUCAUUCACAAUGGGGGAAACCCUGAUGGUGCAACGCCGCGUGGAGGAUGACGGCCUUCGGGUUGUAAACUCCUGUCACCAAGGAACAAACGGCAGGUUCAUAGCCUGUCCUGAGUUAACUUGGAGAGGAAGAGGUGGCUAACUCCGUGCCAGCAGCCGCGGUAAUACGGAGACCUCGAGCGUUACUCGGAUUCACUGGGCGUAAAGAGUAUGUAGGCGGUUUGGUAUGUCAGGUGUGAAAUCCCGGAGCUCAACUCCGGAACUGCGCCUGAAACUACCAAACUCGAGGCCUGGAGAGGAGAGUGGAAUUCCUGGUGUAGCGGUGAAAUGC
rnacentral:rRNA from 1 species